GGGGCUGACUUGGAUUUCGACAGAUUUCUUGUCGCACAGACAGCAUGCCAAGCGCUGCUUGUAAAACAGCAACAAAAAUAACUGUAAACAACACAGAUUACGCUCCAGCUUACGCUAAAGCUGCGUGAGUUAAUCUCCUUUGGAGCUGGACUGAUUAGAAUUUCUAGCGUUUUAAUCACUCCAUAACCUUAAGCUAGACGCUUUUAAAAGGUGGUUCGCCUUUUAAACUAAGAAACAGGAACUCUUGAAACUACCUCAAGGUUUUAGAAAGUUGGACCAGAGCUAGUUUUAAGGCUAAAAAACCAACCAAUUUUCUAAGCAUCGUAGAAGUUUGUGUUUAGGGCAAGAUUUUUGGACUGGGGUUCGAUUCCCCACAGCUCCACCA
rnacentral:tmRNA from 1 species